ACACCCAGCAGCAACCGAGCGAGCAAGACAUGGCGGCGCUGCGCUUAGGUCUGGAUGCGGCGUCGCAGCCAUGUUGCGUCCUGGCUCGCGGUGCCUUGCCAGAGACGCGGGGUGUUGUGGGCUCCGUGGCCACCACUUGGGCUCCCCACGGAGGCCGUCGAUGGCGGUCGUGGCCCCCACCCCACUCCCUCACUGCCGCAAGGCGGCGGCGGCCACCAGCCAGGUAACCGCGGGAUCAUCCCCAACUCAGCUGGACUCCAGACAGUGGCACCGCGCAAGUGCGCGACGCCAACGCAACUACCGGAGCCGGCUAGCUUCGGACGUGCGGGUGCGGAAGUGCGAGCCUGUGAGGCCUAGGCUGGUCGGUCGUCUCCACAUCGAGGGCCACGUGCUGAUGAAGCGAGGUAUUAGUUUUGCUAAUUAUACCUUCUAUAUUUCGCUAGCAAUUAAUAGUCUGAGUACUUGAAUACUUGAUUUCUUAUUGUGUGCUAGAGGCCGAGCAGUGAGGAACAAGUAUUAGUAGUACUUGCCUGUUAUUUAUUUUACCAAUGCAUCUCGGAUCUAGUAUAAGUAGCACUUAUUCUUUUAUGACUACAUCUUGGAUCUAGUAAUAGGAUUUGCAGGACUUCCUACAAGAUCCUCUCUUAUGAUGAGCUUGUUCACGAUCCGGCCGCUUCAAGUUUGAAUUCUGAAAUAACUACGAGUUAUUGGUUGGGGGGGGGGGGGAAUGCCACAACUGGGAAUGGUGGUUCUGUCAACAUCUAGUUACUUUUAUCAAAUAAUAAGUUUUCUAGACUGAAUCCAAAGGCACACUGUCAUGCUGGUUUUCAGUUCACACUGCAUAAUGUAACUCUUAUAAGCUGCAUUUAGGUGUAGUAACUAUGAUGAUUUAUGUCAAUUUGUUACUAUUUCCUAGCAGAACAGUUGUACUACCAUUUAUGUCAAUUGAUUUAUGUCAAUUUGUUACUAUUUCCUACCUGGCAAUUUAUGGUACAUUUUCUUCUCCUUUAGAAGCAGAUAAGGUAAAUUUGUACUUAGCAGCAUUUGAGACUUUGUUAAUUAAGAGUCUGUUUCACAGCAAUAGUUCUAUAUCCCAGCACUGAUUUCAAACAUUUUGUACCAUUGUAUUGUCAUGGUUACUUUUGUCUAACUUGUGUUGAUUUGUGCAAUGCAGGUGAUUGUUGAGAAGGCUGAGAGUUAAUUAUCAACUUCUCUAAGUUACCAUAACAGCUAUAUUUUUUUUACAAUGACUAUCCUCAUCUUUAAUUGUUUAUGGGUAAUAUUCUUUCCCCUGAUGACUGAUGGCAGUUGGUGCCAUAAUUUGGCUACCCCAAGAUAAAUAUGCAACACUAUAUUCAAUUGUCUCACUAUUAUCAUUACAGAAAGUGCUCACUGCUCUCAUUUCAAUAUUUUUACACAUCACCAUAUACUUAUUGUGUGUUCACUGUUUUAUAUUUAACAAUUAGGCAGUAACACAUCUCCAUAUACUUAUUGCAAGUUUAUUUCAAAUUGCAGAAGCUGAACUGAGCAUUAUGAAUCUGUAUGCUGAUUCCUAAUGAUAUAUAUCAAGAAGGCGUAAUUGUGAGAGAGACAUGAUGGUUUGAGUGCAACUUGGAGUAGCGAGCGAGCUCAUAUGCAUUGGUGAAGGAUCUUUUUAUGUUUGUGUUAAGUAGAUCAAGUCUUGUUAGAUUGAUUCAAUAGUUUUCAACUGAGUUGAUUGUAACUUGCUACUGGAAUAUCUAUGAAUAUUUCUGCUCAUUAAAAUUACUGCAUAUCAGCAGCAAUGUAUUUGUUUUACGUGCCAUAUGUUGUUCCUGUAAUAUUAUUGGAAGAAUAAUGAUAUGUUGCCGGUCACUACCUUGAUCAAUGGAACUUGAUAUGGACUGGAUGUUUGAUGGAUGCAA